AGGACGAACGCUGGCGGCGUGCUUAACACAUGCAAGUCGAACGGAAAGGCCCUUUCGGGGGUACUCGAGUGGCGAACGGGUGAGUAACACGUGGGUGAUCUGCCCUGCACUUUGGGAUAAGCCUGGGAAACUGGGUCUAAUACCGAAUACACCUUGCUGGCUGCAUGGCCUGGUGGGGGAAAGCUUUUGCGGUGUGGGAUGGGCCCGCGGCCUAUCAGCUUGUUGGUGGGGUGAUGGCCUACCAAGGCGACGACGGGUAGCCGGCCUGAGAGGGUGUCCGGCCACACUGGGACUGAGAUACGGCCCAGACUCCUACGGGAGGCAGCAGUGGGGAAUAUUGCACAAUGGGCGCAAGCCUGAUGCAGCGACGCCGCGUGAGGGAUGACGGCCUUCGGGUUGUAAACCUCUUUCAGUAUCGACGAAGCGCAAGUGACGGUAGGUACAGAAGAAGCACCGGCCAACUACGUGCCAGCAGCCGCGGU
rnacentral:rRNA from 1 species